rnacentral:rRNA from 1 species
GCAGUUUGAUCCUGGCUCAGGACGAACGCUGGGGGCGUGCCUAAUACAUGCAAGUGGAACGCACGAGGUACACCGUAGUUUACUACACCGUACUUUGUGAGUCGCGAACGGGUGAGUAACGCGUAGGUAACCUACCUUUUAGCGGGGGAUAACUAUUGGAAACGAUAGCUAAUACCGCAUAAGAUAUCUUACUGCAUGGUAAGAUAUUAAAAGAUGCAAUUGCAUCACUAAGAGAUGGACCUGCGUUGUAUUAGCUAGUAGGUGAGGUAACGGCUCACCUAGGCAACGAUACAUAGCCGACCUGAGAGGGUGAUCGGCCACACUGGGACUGAGACACGGCCCAGACUCCUACGGGAGGCAGCAGUAGGGAAUCUUCGGCAAUGGGGGGAACCCUGACCGAGCAACGCCGCGUGAGUGAAGAAGGUUUUCGGAUCGUAAAGCUCUGUUGUAAGAGAAGAACGAGUGUGAGAGUGGAAAGUUCACACUGUGACGGUAACUUACCAGAAAGGGACGGCUAACUACGUGCCAGCAGCCGCGGUAAUACGUAGGUCCCGAGCGUUGUCCGGAUUUAUUGGGCGUAAAGCGAGCGCAGGCGGUUAGAUAAGUCUGAAGUUAAAGGCUGUGGCUUAACCAUAAUACGCUUUGGAAACUGUUUAACUUGAGUGCCGAAGGGGAGAGUGGAAUUCCAUGUGUAGCGGUGAAAUGCGUAGAUAUAUGGAGGAACACCGGUGGCGAAAGCGGCUCUCUGGUCUGUAACUGACGCUGAGGCUCGAAAGCGUGGGGAG